rnacentral:tmRNA from 1 species
GGGGAUGUAAAGGCUUCGACGGUGCGGCUCAGCGGCGGAAAAGCAGGUGGUAGGGUCGCGACUACCUAAAAACGCGAAACGGCUUUAAGUGCCAACAAAAACGAAAAUGCCAAAGUCAUCAAGUUCGCGGCUCCUGUUGCGGCUCCGGCAAUGGCAUUCGCAGCUUAACUAAUAGCUACGGCGUCUGCCCCUAAUACCUACCGUUAGGUAGGCGGGCGUAAUUGAACGGUAGGCAACUCGGUAAGGAAGCGGUCGAACCGUGCCGAGUAACAAGACCUUGCGGGUGCAAACCUUUGUUCAUUGCGGUUUGCUCUCGGACAUCGAGCGAUGAACUAAACUUGUAGAAAGCCCCGCAAACCCGUAUCGGAAAUCGGUUCAACUCCGAUCAUCUCCACCA